rnacentral:rRNA from 1 species
AUUAGCCAUGCAUGUCUCAGUACAUGCCGAAUUAAGGUGAAACCGCGAAUGGCUCAUUAAAUCAGUUAUGGUUCAUUAGAUCGUGGACACAUUUACUUGGAUAACUGUGGUAAUUCUAGAGCUAAUACAUGCAAACAGAAUUCCUCUCAGAGAUGGGAGGAAUGCUUUUAUUAGAUCAAAACCAAUCGGUGGCGGACGGCUCGUCCGUUCGUCCAUCGUUUGUUUUGGUGACUCUGAAUAACUUUGUGCUGAUCGCAUGGUCAUCUAGCACCGGCGACGCAUCUUUCAAAUGUCUGCCUUAUCAACUGUCGAUGGUAGGUUCUGCGCCUACCAUGGUUGUAACGGGUAACGGGGAAUCAGGGUUCGAUUCCGGAGAGGGAGCCUGAGAAACAGCUACCACAUCCAAGGAAGGCAGCAGGCGCGCAAAUUACCCACUCCCGGCACGGGGAGGUAGUGACGAAAAAUAACGAUACGGGACUCAUCCGAGGCCCCGUAAUCGGAAUGAGUACACUUUAAAUCCUUUAACGAGGACCAAUUGGAGGGCAAGUCUGGUGCCAGCAGCCGCGGUAAUUCCAGCUCCAAUAGCGUAUAUUAAAGUUGUUGCGGUUAAAAAGCUCGUAGUUGAAUCUGUGUGUCACAGUGUCGGUUCACCGCUCGCGGUGUUUAACUGGCAUUAUGUGGUACGUCCUAUCGGUGGGCUUAGCUCCUUGCGGGCGGUCCAACUAAUAUCCCAUCGCGGUGCUCUUCACUGAGUGUCGAGGUGGGCCGAUACGUUUACUUUGAAAAAAUUAGAGUGCUUAAAGCAGGCUACCUUUGCCUGAAUACUGUGUGCAUGGAAUAAUGGAAUAGGACCUCGGUUCUAUUUUGUUGGUUUUCGGAACCCCGAGGUAAUGAUUAAUAGGGACAGAUGGGGGGCAUUCGUAUUGCGACGUUAGAGGUGAAAUUCUUGGAUCGUCGCAAGACGGACAGAAGCGAAAGCAUUUGCCCAAAAAUGUUUUCAUUAAUCAAGAACGAAAGUUAGAGGUU